rnacentral:rRNA from 1 species
GUUCUGGGCUACACACGUGCUACAAUGGCCGGUACAGACGGACGCAAAAGCCGCGAGGUGGAGCAAAUCCUAAAAAGCCGGUCUCAGUUCGGAUUGCAGGCUGCAAUUCGCCUGCAUGAAGUCGGAAUCGCUAGUAAUCGCAGGUCAGCAUACUGCGGUCGAAUACGUUCCGGGCCUU